rnacentral:snRNA from 1 species
GUGCUUGCUUUGGUAGCACAUAUACUAAAAUUGGAAUGAUACAGAGAAGAUAACUUGUCCCUGUGCAAGAAUGAUAUGCAAAUUCACAAAGCAUUCUAUAUUAAA